UACGUAGGUGGCAAGCGUUGUUCGGAAUUAUUGGGCGUAAAGAGCUCGUAGGCGGUUUGUCGCGUCGGCUGUGAAAUCCCGAGGCUCAACCUCGGGCCUGCAGUCGAUACGGGCAAACUAGAGUGUGGUAGGGGAGACUGGAAUUCCUGGUGUAGCGGUGAAAUGCGCAGAUAUCAGGAGGAACACCGGCGGCGAAGGCGGGUCUCUGGGCCAUAACUGACGCUGAGGAGCGAAAGCGUGGGGAGCGAACAGG
rnacentral:rRNA from 1 species